UCCGUGGUGACUCAGAUGGUAAAGUAUCUGCCUACAAUGCAGGAGACCCAGGUUUGAGCCCUGGGUCAGGAA
rnacentral:tRNA from 1 species